AGAGUUUGAUCCUGGCUCAGGAUGAACGCUAGCGGCAGGCCUAACACAUGCAAGUCGAGGGAGAAGCCCUUCGGGGCAGAAACCGGCGCACGGGUGCGUAACGCGUAUGCAACCUACCUUUCACAGGGGGAUAGCCCGAAGAAAUUUGGAUUAAUACCCCAUAAUAUUAUUGGAUGGCAUCAUUUGAUAAUUAAAAUUACGAUGGUGAAAGAUGGGCAUGCGUCCUAUUAGCUAGUUGGAGUGGUAACGGCACCCCAAGGCUACGAUAGGUAGGGGUCCUGAGAGGGAGAUCCCCCACACUGGUACUGAGACAGGGACCAGACUCCUACGGGAGGCAGCAGUGAGGAAUAUUGGUCAAUGGUCGGAAGACUGAACCAGCCAUGCCGCGUGCAGGAAGAAUGCCUUAUGGGUUGUAAACUGCUUUUAUAUGGGAAGAAUAAGGAGUACGUGUACUUUGAUGACGGUACCAUAUGAAUAAGCAUCGGCUAACUCCGUGCCAGCAGCCGCGGUAAUACGGAGGAUGCGAGCGUUAUUCGGAAUCAUUGGGUUUAAAGGGUCUGUAGGCGGGCUAUUAAGUCAGGGGUGAAAGGUUUCAGCUUAACUGAGAAAUUGCCUUUGAUACUGGUAGUCUUGAAUAUCUGUGAAGUUCUUGGAAUGUGUAGUGUAGCGGUGAAAUGCUUAGAUAUUACACAGAACACCGAUUGCGGAGGCAGGGGACUAACAGACGAUUGACGCUGAGAGACGAAAGCGUGGGGAGCGAACAGGAUUAGAUACCCUGGUAGUCCACGCU
rnacentral:rRNA from 2 species